GUGUUCUACCAGUUUCUGUGAUGUUUUCCUCCCUCUACACUUAAGCAUCACAGAAUCACUGGCUGGAGUCAUGACAUCUUAGAGGAAGAAAAGAUCACAUUUGGUGAAUGUGAUCUUCUUAGAGGAAGAAAAGAUCACAAAGGUCAUCUAUUUGGUCCAGCUCCUGUUGGCACUGAGGAGAAAACGUAUGCCUGACACUUCCGGUCACCCAUCAUUUGCAGGGGCUGCUAUAACAAAAUACCACAUUGAGUAGCUUCAAGAAUAGGAAUUUAUUUUUUCAUACUUCUGAAGACUGGGAGUCUAAGAUCAAGGUGUUGGUGAGUCUGGUUUCUCCUGGGCCUGCAGAUGGCCACCUUCUUGCUGUGUCCUCACGUGGCCUGUCCUCUGUGUAAGCAUCCGUGUGACUCUUUCCCUCAUCUCCUCUCCUUAUAAGGACCCUCGUUAGAUAGAAUGGAUUAACUAGGGGGCCCCCCUAAAUGGCCUCAUUUUAGAACUUAAUCACUUCUUUAAAGGCUCUAUCUCCAAACCGUUCCUAGAGAUUAGGGCUUCAAUAUAUACAUUUGGAAUGAGGGAAAGGGAGACACAUUCAGCUCCUAACAGUGUUGAAUUCUCACCACAAUUUUUGUAAUAAAGGUACUGUCAUUAUCUCCAUUGUAGAGAUAAAGAAACAGUGGUUCAUAAAAGCUGAGUCACUGGCCUGAUAACUUCCAUGUAGCAAGCCAAGCAUACCAUUUACAUGCCCUGUAUUUCUUUUUCAGUGUGUGUGUCAGAGAUAUCAUCUAGGUUUUGAAGUGGGUUUGAAAAGGCCCAUUGAAAUUUCUGGAUUCCUUUAAAAGAAGGCGUAUGUAGCCAUGUUGCUAAAGGAGCUUCUGCCACUUAGCAGCUGUGUGACCUCUGGCAGGUUACUUCACUUCUCUGGCCUUUGGUUUUCUAGUUUACAAAAUAGGGUUAUUAAUCAUACCUACCUGAGAGGGCUGUUGUGAAGAGGAUGUGAGAUAAU
ensembl:lncRNA